AUUGAACGCUGGCGGUAGGCCUAACACAUGCAAGUCGAACGCGUAAGUCCUUCGGGAUGAGUAGAGUGGCGGACGGGUGAGUAACGCGUAGGAAUCUAUCCUGUAGUGGGGGAUAACGUUUCGAAAGGAACGCUAAUACCGCAUACGCCCCACGGGGGAAAGCGGGGGAUCUUCGGACCUCGUGCUAUAGGAGGAGCCUGCGUCGGAUUAGCUAGUUGGUGAGGUAAAGGCUCACCAAGGCGACGAUCCGUAGCUGGUCUGAGAGGAUGAUCAGCCACACCGGAACGGAGACACGGUCCGGACUCCUACGGGAGGCAGCAGUGGGGAAUAUUGCGCAAUGGGCGAAAGCCUGACGCAGCCAUACCGCGUGUGUGAAGAAGGCCUUCGGGUUGUAAAGCACUUUCAGUGGGGAGGAAAAGCUGGUGGCUAAUAUCCACCGGCCGUGACGCUACCCACAGAAGAAGCACCGGCUAAUUCCGUGCCAGCCGCCGCGGUAA
rnacentral:rRNA from 1 species